rnacentral:rRNA from 1 species
GAUGAACGCUGGCGGCGUGCCUAAUACAUGCAAGUCGAGCGAACAGACGAGGAGCUUGCUCCUCUGACGUUAGCGGCGGACGGGUGAGUAACACGUGGAUAACCUACCUAUAAGACUGGGAUAACUUCGGGAAACCGGAGCUAAUACCGGAUAAUAUAUUGAACCGCAUGGUUCAAUAGUGAAAGACGGUUUUGCUGUCACUUAUAGAUGGAUCCGCGCCGCAUUAGCUAGUUGGUAAGGUAACGGCUUACCAAGGCAACGAUGCGUAGCCGACCUGAGAGGGUGAUCGGCCACACUGGAACUGAGACACGGUCCAGACUCCUACGGGAGGCAGCAGUAGGGAAUCUUCCACAAUGGGCGAAAGCCUGACGGAGCAACGCCGCGUGAGUGAUGAAGGUCUUCGGAUCGUAAAGCUCUGUUAUUAGGGAAGAACAAAUGUGUAAGUAACUAUGCACGUCUUGACGGUACCUAAACAGAAAGCCACGGCUAACUACGUG